rnacentral:rRNA from 1 species
GGGGAAUUUUGGACAAUGGGCGAAAGCCUGAUCCAGCCAUGCCGCGUGAGUGAAGAAGGCCUUCGGGUUGUAAAGCUCUUUUAGUCGGAAAGAAAGAGUUGCAAUGAAUAAUUGUGAUUUAUGACGGUACCGACAGAAAAAGCACCGGCUAACUACGUGCCAGCAGCCGCGGUAAUACGUAGGGUGCGAGCGUUAAUCGGAAUUACUGGGCGUAAAGGGCGCGCAGGCGGUCUUGCAAGUCAGAUGUGAAAGCCCCGGGCUUAACCUGGGAAUUGCGUUUGAAACUACAAGACUAGAGUGCAGCAGAGGGGAGUGGAAUUCCAUGUGUAGCAGUGAAAUGCGUAGAGAUGUGGAAGAACACCGAUGGCGAAGGCAGCUCCCUGGGUUGACACUGACGCUCAUGCACGAAAGCGAGGGGAGCA